AUUAAAGUAACAUUUCUCUCUUUAUUAUCUAAAACAAAACACACGCAUACACACUUUUUUUUUAAUAUCUCUCUCUCUAUUAUUCAAGUAAAUUACUCUCGUUAUUAUCAACAAAAUCACACGCACACACAGCCGCUUAACAUCUCUCUCUCUCUUCUCAAUUAAAAACGCUGCUAUCUCUCCAAAAUUCCUCACACAGAGCCGCUCAACAUCUCUCUCUCUCGCUCAAUCCAGCCAUCUCCUCCCUCGAACUUCCGCCGCCGCGGCUCUUCUCUUCAACGGCGAGGAGCGUCGCUUUCUGUUGCUCCGGCGACUCACAGCGAGGUCGCCGCGUGGAGCUGCUGCCGCUGACUACUGCUGUUCAGCUCUGGGCCGCGACCAGCGGCGCUUGGCCUUCGGCCGCGCCGCCCCGCUCAGCCGCCUGGAACUGCUGCUGCUCGCCCGGAGUCGCGGCUGUUGCUGCUGU
rnacentral:lncRNA from 1 species